GAGUUCUUUGUUGAUGCUGAGGCCUCUCCAGAACCAACUUGUCCUCAAUCAGAUGAAGAGAAGCCAUAGUUUCAACUGAGAUAUUAACGUCGCAUUGCAUUUGAAGUUAGAUCAAGUCUGUUGGUAAAAUGAUUAUAAAACUGAUGGAUUUAUGAGCUGAAAACAUUUGAUCUACCCUUUGUUAGGUGUGCUAGAUAUAGUUAUUAACCUAAUUUAGAAUACUUCACCUUUGGAUUAUUAUAGUGAUCAGAUCUUUAUUUCAUCAGUAGAAACAGGACAGGAUAUGUUAAAGUGAAAAUAGUCUCUCAGAAAGGAUUUUAUUAUCCAUAUGUUGUAGUUAAUUAAAAAGGUUACUAUGUUUGCUUUUGGAUGAUUGAGAUGAGAUUAUUGAUUGAUAGUAUAUGUUUAUGCAAAGUCUGAUAUAUUAAAAUUCAA
rnacentral:lncRNA from 1 species